AGAGAAGACAUUCACCUUGCUUCACGCCCUUGUGGAACAGAUCUUCUUACCUUGUGGAACAAAAUCUGAUCUUGCCAGAUUUUCUGAGGAGUUGACAGAAUUUGAAGCUGUUCCCGAUGCUUCCAUGAAGGGCCUCAGUGCUGAAGUUGAUGUUUUAAAGAAAGAAUUGGAAAACGUUAUUCAGUGCAGGCGGCUUAUUAAACCCAAGACAAUCAAGGUGACAUCCCA